rnacentral:sRNA from 1 species
CCCAUACAUCCAUAAAGGUCUAUUGAUAUUGACAUUGCAGAUUGGAGAAAGUGAAAGAAAGAAUGUUAGUAAACAGUAUUUCUGCUCUGCAGCUGUCUGGAAGAUUGCUGAUGGCAAUGAACUUUUCUAGAUUUUGUCUGUUGGAUGAUUAUGCUCUAGCUCAAAUCUCCAGCAAACAGCAGGUGAUGACAGCAGACUGGGUUCAAACUCAACUAUUGAGAGACAGUACAAAGCACAUGUCUCACAACUAGAUGGCAGAGUACAUGACAAUUCACAGUAAAAUGCAGUUUAGUACUUUGGUUGUAAAUGUUUAUUAAUGAAUCAUUGACAUUAUAUUUCAACAAUAAAUGCUUCCUUCUAUAUAUUCUGUUUAUUUAUAGAUGUACAAACAAUGCAAUAAAACACUCUACUCAAGCUCAAAACAAGAAAAACAUAUAAAUACUUUUCUUUUAGAAAAACAAAGCUUAUACAAAGUGUAGUUGUAUCAAUUACUUUGGAUUAGUCAUGUGUAAUUAAGUUAGUAAUAGAUCUAGACCAACAACAAUAAAUCUGUGCGACUAUAAAUAUUUUUACCAAAUGUUUUUUUUUAGUACUAUUUUAUGCAUUUAGCUUUCUCAAUACAUUAUAAUCCUAUCUCUAAUCUGUACCUGAUGAAAAAAGGG